CCUACGGGUGACAGCAGUGAGGAAUAUUGGUCAAUGGACGCAAGUCUGAACCAGCCAUGCCGCGUGCAGGAUGACGGCUCUAUGAGUUGUAAACUGCUUUUGUACGAGGGUAAACCCCGAUACGUGUAUCGGGUUGAAAGUAUCGUACGAAUAAGGAUCGGCUAACUCCGUGCCAGCAGCCGCGGUAAUACGGAGGAUCCGAGCGUUAUCCGGAUUUAUUGGGUUUAAAGGGUGCGUAGGCGGUUUGAUAAGUUAGAGGUGAAAUGUCGGGGCUCAACCCCGAAACUGCCUCUAAUACUGUUGGACUAGAGAAUAGUUGCGGUAGGCGGAAUGUAUGGUGUAGCGGUGAAAGGCUUAGAGAUCAUACAGAACACCGAUUGCGAAGGCAGCUUACCAAACUAUAUCUGACGUUGAGGCACGAAAGCGUGGGUAGCAAACAGGAUUAGAUACCCGUGUAGUC
rnacentral:rRNA from 1 species